AGUGAACGCUGGCGGUAGGCCUAACACAUGCAAGUCGAACGGCAGCACAGUAAGAGCUUGCUCUUACGGGUGGCGAGUGGCGGACGGGUGAGGAAUACAUCGGAAUCUACUUUUUCGUGGGGGAUAACGUAGGGAAACUUACGCUAAUACCGCAUACGACCUACGGUUGAAAGCAGUGGAUCUUCGGACCUUGCGCGAUUGAAUGAGCCGAUGUCGGAUUAGCUAGUUGGCGGGGUAAAGGCCCACCAAGGCGACGAUCCGUAGCUGGUCUGAGAGGAUGAUCAGCCACACGGGAACUGAGACACGGUCCAGACUCCUAAGGGAGGCAGCAGAGGGGAAUAUGGGACAAUGGGCGCAAGCCUGAUCCAGCCAUACCGCGUGGGUGAAGAAGGCCUUCGGGUUGUAAAGCCGUUUUGUUGGGAAAGAAAAGCAGCAGGUUAAGACCCCGCUGUUCUGACGGUACCCAAAGAAUAAGCACCGGCUAACUUCGUG
rnacentral:rRNA from 1 species